UAGCUAUUUCCUGGCCAUUUGUGCCCCUGAAUUCCCUUUCUAACAUACUGUUUAUGUCCAUAGCCAGUAGCUCUGAUGGAGACAGCACACUCUCUGAAUUUUUCCUCAUUGGGUGUUCCUCCUUCUAGUCAU